rnacentral:rRNA from 1 species
GAUGAACGCUGGCGGCGUGCCUAAUACAUGCCAGUCGAGCGAACAGACGAGGAGCUUGCUCCUCUGACGUUAGCGGCGGACGGGUGAGUAACACGUGGAUAACCUACCUAUAAGACUGGGAUAACUUCGGGAAACCGGAGCUAAUACCGGAUAAUAUAUUGAACCGCAUGGUUCAAUAGUGAAAGACGGUUUUGCUGUCACUUAUAGAUGGAUCCGCGCCGCAUUAGCUAGUUGGUAAGGUAACGGCUUACCAAGGCAACGAUGCGUAGCCGACCUGAGAGGGUGAUCGGCCACACUGGAACUGAGACACGGUCCAGACUCCUACGGGAGGCAGCAGUAGGGAAUCUUCCGCAAUGGGCGAAAGCCUGACGGAGCAACGCCGCGUGAGUGAUGAAGGUCUUCGGAUCGUAAAACUCUGUUAUUCGGGAAGAACAAAUGUGUAAGUAACUAUGCACGUCUUGACGGUACCUAAUCAGAAAGCCACGGCUAACUACGUG